GUAUAUUCUGAUACGUCUCUCUGGCAGUAUUGUUGGAAGACCUCCAGUUCUACGGGAGGUUUCUUCAAAAAUGGCUCCCAGGGAUGAGAACCCUUUCAGGAGCUUUAUUCCCUCCAAAUCUCUCCUAAUGUUGUUGAUUCUCCUCCUAGUGCAAAAAAGCUCGCAAGGCGGGAGUCACGAGACGCCCGAGGCGGGGGCGAGGGCGAGAGGCGGACCGAGGACGACGGCGCUGGCCGGCGCCCCUUCUGGCGCCCCUUCGGGAGGCCCUUCCGGCGCCCCUUCGGGAGGCCCUUCGGGAGGCCCUUCCGGCGCCCCUUCGGG